ensembl:lncRNA
CCUACAAAAACUGAGAUUAUUAAUGCUAGAUUUUGCAUCUGAAGAAACAAAGCCAUGCAGAUUAUAAAUAUUGCACGUAUAACAACACUGGAAUCAGUAGAGUUACACACUACCUGUACUUCUGAGUGUUCAGCAAAAAUUCUGAACCUACUAUAAAAUAAAAACAAUGCAGAAGGAAGGCAGGUGGAAAUAUUUAAAUCUCUCUCUUAAAUAAACAGGAAUGGAGAUAUUUGCAAAGAUUUUAAAUGGAAGUUAAUGUAUGUGAACAACAAUAUAAUGAAAUAUUGCCAACAGACAACCCAUUAAGAAUGAGAUAAGAACAUCAUCAUUAACUGAAGUGGGAGCAAGAUGAGGCUUUGAAGAUAACCCCAUACCAGUCUACUGAAACAAGGCCAAAAUUUGCAGGUACAGAAGACUUCCUGUGCGUGAAACCAUGAAUGCAACACAAUGAUCAAGAGCACGUGUUAUUAACCUUGCAGCAUAUUUAGUUUUCUUAUUGGUAUUUUUCUUUAAAAAAAAAAAUCUUGAAUUGCCACUACAGUAAAGUCUUUACAUAAACGUGGGGUUAAGACACAAGAACACCAUGUCUAUAUUUUUAACACUUGCUUAUAUGGCACUUAGUGACAUCUAAAUCACAGGUUUGGUUCUGUCUAAUACAAACACAAGGACUACUCUUUCCACACCACAUUUCAGUAGUGCAGGUCUCAGGAACAGACUCAGAUCUAUGUCUACUUCUAGCGCCACUGUGACUGCCUCCAGUUUUCACAGCUCACUGCUCUACUGCAUUUCCCUUGUCAGAGCCCCUUAUUACCUUUAACUUACAUAGUAAUCUCUUCUGAACUGAGAUUACCUUUUCUGCCAUGUUCGUAUUCCACUUGACAAAAUGAGCUCCCAUCAUAUUACACACUUUAAUGGUGAUUUCUAGAAAAAAAAAAAAAAAAAGAAAUGUAGAAAAAUAAUAAAAGCAAAGUAAUAGGAGGGGAAUGUCCUGGACGAGGAGCAGGGACUGAAAGAAGAAUAUUCUGCUCUAGGAAUAUGAAAGCGGUAGGAGGAGCUAGAUAAAACCAUGGAGAAGGAGAGCCUAUUGGCCUAUAUAAGCUGGGAAGCAUCUUUGCAUAUGAAACAUGGGGAGCAGUAGUUUCAUCAUGCAAGCCAACAGUAACAGCUGUUUGUGAGACAAUGAAGUGAAAGGACUAAAAGAAGUACUGAUUAAAGAGUUUAUCUGCUCCACAGCCUGUCACCCACUGGAGAGAAUUUGGCCCUUUAGGAGCACUGAAACACACUGAGAUCAAGAAAGGGUGGUAACAACGAAGUGGUAAGGUCUCGUGUUCCUAGAUUAAUUGCACAACUGAUUAAAGCAGCAGGGCUUUUGGCCUUGUAAAUGGCAUGAAAAGGUACUCAAACAUUCUCUUUCUCCCAGAAUCUCAUUUACAGAAAUUGAAAACAGAUGCAAAGACUGUUUUCAUUAUUGCAUAAAAUUAAGGUGUGUCUACACUUGAGGUACCAUUCGGAGUACUGAUCUUCCCAGCUCAGAAAAGAUGUGAGAGACUCAGAAGGAAGUGAGCAACAAUAAUGAUUGGAUGUAUGACAAUACCUGCAUGAGCAGAAGCUAGUCAGACAUUUGGGUUAGAGAUGACUGAAGAGUAUUACAGUAUAUUUAAAUGAAAUAAUUGGUAGGGGCAAAGUAGCUCAUGAAUUCAGGAUGCAGGUGAACUAAAACGUAGAAAAUGAAACACUUCUUCGCAUAAUUAAAUUCCAUGUGAGAUGCUGUGGAAGUCAGAACUGUAAAGAGACACCAGAGAGAGGUAAUGGCACAUCAAGGCUUUUAAGCAUUGUGGCACAAAUGAAAGAUCUGGGUCUGAAGUCCCUAAGUUGCCAUUUAUAGAAAGGUUGGAUGGUACCAGGGAAAGAUUAUUCUGUAUUUUCUCUGUUUCUCCCACUUCUCCCUAAACAUCUGCUACUGGAUAUUGCAAGACUACUCAUUUGUAUCUCCUCGCUCUGUUUGUAACACCAUUUUAGCUUUUUUAAGACAAAGUAGCUCAACUAUAAAAUGAGAUAGCAACUAUAAAAGGCAGCAAGAACACCUUUCUAUCUCUACGAAGCUACACUCAGAUAGAAAGCAACAUUGACAAAAUAGCAACACAGGCAUGUGGUAUUCAAUUAUUUACUAUUAUUGUCAUUUUCCACUGCUCUCAGAUGGCAUUCUCAAACUAGCCGGACAGCUAACAGAACUAUGUCCUAUCCCCAUUAAUUUCAUGAAACAGAAUUUGCUUCUGCAGAACAUCAGGGAAGUCAGCCACAUAAAUAUAUGGGUCUCAAAAAAUUGAUGCAAAAGCAUUAAGCUUAGUUUAAACCUCCCCCCUAGUGAAUAUGUUAUGCCAAUGAAGGAAAUGAUGCAAGAUUACUAGGUUGAAAGAAUUCAUCAUCUACUCUAGAUUUAAGGAAAUGAAAUGAUUUAGAGUCUCAGAAAUUGCAAUAAUAGAUUUGAGUAUGUAUUUUGGACAAAUAGAAUUACAGACUUGAUGGCAUAAACAGAACUGCUGAAGAAAGUCUGUCCCUGUUGGAUACAUUGCUGUUAGUUACUUAAUAUUUUCAGCAACAAUUUCGGCUACAAUGUAUUGAACUCUUCCUAGUGCUUAGUGAUGGGAAACUUCUAGUAAAGCUCACCAGAAGGACAGCUUCAGUUUUAAGAGUUCUCGCCAUGCAGCAAUUGGCUAUACUUCGUAUAUUGUUGCUCAUUAUCAUACAACCCUUACCUGUUCCUCUGCUUUAUAAUGAUGUGCAAUAUCUGUUUCAGACUGAUUUGGGCAAAGACUUAUCAGAAAUUACAGUCCCUACCAUGCAAUUAAUACCCAUAUAAAUAUAAGAUGCAAUUGAUACUUUUUAAACAAUUGUAUAGGUCAAAAACAGGAAAACAUGUAUAAUUCAUUCCAUGGAAAGAAAGCACAUUCUACUAAAACCAAGUGCCUUUUCAUCACAGUGGUAGUAAAUAUGCUGUUGAUUAUAUUCUACACAGGACUUCAUUUAAUUGAUUCUCUUUGCUGAAGCUUUUAUUAGCUUGACUUACAACCUCAACACAGAAAAAGUGUUGGAAAGUUUGAUUUUUCUCUGUUCAUGACUUAUAGAUGUUCUGAAAAAUAUCAGGUUUGUUGUUUGAAUCAUAACGUUUGUGUACGAAGUUCAGAAUUUUUCUCUUCAUUCAUGUUUGUACCCUUAGUCUACCCAUUGAAAGACUGAUUAGUAAGUUAUGGGGUGUCGUGUAUUUAAAUAAUAAAGCAAAUCAUACAUUGUUAAAAAAACAGAGAGAGAGAGAGAGAGAGAGAGAGAGGAUGCAAAAUCAAGUUCCAUGGAUUCUUGUUCUGGUGAUCUGAAGUUUAGUCAGGUCGUUAAGCAGAAAUAGAAAGAACACCCCAAGCCCAGCCAGGACUGCUUUGAAAUUUCAGUCAGACAAAGACUGAAGUUGUAAAGAUUAAGAACACAGGAUCAAUAUGGCUCUAUCUCCUGGAAGGAGGCUGUAUUAAAUAUUUACAGUCUGAAAGCAUCCUGAUGUACCUGAUUUCUGAAAAAUUGAUCAAACGUAAGGACCUUAGUGUUCUUGGAGUACAUGAGAGGUGAUAAGCACACGACUCCUAUGGAGUCUGAAAUACCUGUCUUGAGCUCCUGCAAUAGAAACACAUAUGACUGUAUAUGUUAAUUAGAGUUUUCAACUACUAUUUAGUGAGUUGCUCUAUUUAAAAGCAAGUUCUUCUGCAAUUACUAGAAUUAAAUAAACCUCAUAUUCAGUACGGAUUGACACUGAUGCAAAACUGUUCCAAAACCAACAGCUAACGCUCCUGUCACCAACCAACCUGUUCUCCCAAAACUGCCGUUCAAAUUCAAGAAAUUUAAACAUGACUACUGAAUGUAUUUAAAUCUGGUUUUUGUCAUUCCCAUAAGAAAGCACGUUGUUAUUAUUUAUUUUCAUUAUAUUGUCACUCCAAAAAAAUUCUUCAUGUUGCUCUGAGGUCAAAGAAAGCUUAAAGCCCAUUGGUACACGUACCUGCAAAAAAACAUCACUGUUUGGAUAAACAGGAUAGAUAUAGCUGCAGAGAAAUUGAAUGAGAGGAAGAAAAAGGUGUUCCUAACAGCUCAACAUCUGACCCUAAAGGAAGGAGCUCCUCAUCAUUGAAAGACUGGCUGUGGAAGGGCAGAGUACAGCACCUGACUCUUUUCUUUCUCCUUACACUUCAUAAAGGCAGAUGAUAGAUCCAUUACUGUGGGCAUGGGAGAGCAGUGAGUCCACUAGGAGUACCACCUGACAAUUGUCAGAUGAUACAGAAGCAGUCAUUCAUCAACAUCUCUUCUUCCACUUAGGGCUGUAUCUGGUACUGACUUUCUUCUUAUGUCUAUAGCAUUCUCUCAUCCUUUCAAAUCAUAGAAUAAAAUCAAAUUAUUUUCAGCAGUUUUAAAAUCAGAAAGACAAUCUUUGUCUCAAGGGCAGCUACUGAAAUCAAAAGCAAUGUUAUUGGAGGUACACUAGAUUCAUGUAGGAAACAGAGCGGAAAUACAGCUCUAUUAACACCUUGGGGAAAAAAAAAAGGAUAAUCUUUGCCUCACACUCCAAGAUAAAGAAAAGAAAAAAGUAAUAAAUAACUCAUACCCAACAGGAAAACUGCAAAUCCAUUUAAAUGGAAAAAAAUCAUUUAAAAGUUCUUCUAUAGAGUUCAGAAGGACAUUAUUUUAAAAUCCUUGUUCUUCAAUUAAAGGAAGAAUAAAUUCUCUAUUUUAUAAUCACAAUAGAAGACUUAAUAGACAAAAAUAAUUUCCUCAUGUGAUUCUGUUUUCUCCUUGUAAAAAUACUGAUAAAUCCCAAGCUACAUGCAGAAUAUAUAAGCAGAGGCAAGUAGUCUGAAAAGAUGAAAGCUACUCAAGUGCUGCAACUUGUUGGUUUUACACAGAAAUCCACUGAGCAAUGAGAACACUAUGAUCAAUUAGACAGGAUGCAGACAUAUUGAACAGUAACAAGACUGAAUUAGAAUUUUUAAGUUUACUGCUAGAAAUUGUGGCUUUGGCAUGUACAGCACAGUGAGCCAAUCUAAAGAUGAACUUGUAGCUAUCAAGUCAAACAAAACCAUAAUAGCUGGCUGAUAUUACACCAGCUGCAUAAACCAUGCAAGGAAUAAGAGAAAUACUGAAAGAGGGCUGCAUUUUAUUUAUCUAGUAUGUUCAGGCACUGCUCUAAUAUGUGCAUGUGUAUAUUCUACAGAUAUGAUGGACGUUAUUUUGGAAAUUUAAAUGCUUCUCCAAUUCUUCCUUGUCAACUUCAGCCUUAGGUUGUAGAAGCCUUCCUGUCUGUGUUAUGCAGCAUUAAACACAAAAUUGCUGGUCUUCUUCAGGUGCUCUGAACAAGAAAGCUGUUGUUAGUAAUAGACAAGUUUUAAACAGCUCCAGGACCAAGACAGAGUAAUGUCCAGAUAAUGUCAUAAGCCUACAAUGAGUCUUACAUGGACCUUAAGGAUUAAUGCUGAGCUUGUAAUAUCUGAUGAUCUCUAGCAAGAACUGUCACAAUAGGUUGACUUGUGCCACAGGUGAAGAUUUUUUUUAUUUUUUUAUUUUUAAUAAUCACAGAAAAUAAAUAGAAAACUCAUGGAGGAAUAAAUACUUUUUCCACUACACACAGUGCUGUUUAGAUAAAAAUCUGUGCAAUUAAUAGGAUUUCACAUAUACUCUAGGUAAAUACAUUGUUGUCUUGUUCCAGCACCUAAUAUAAAUGCACGUAUACUAGAUAAAUUAAUCUACCAUGCCCACAAUUAAUAUAAUUUAAAAUUAUAGGUGCAGUCUAUUACUUUGCUGCUUCAUGUUUCAUUUCAGCUUGUAUAUUCAUGCUAAUUGCAGUUGAUGAAGCUAUAACCCUCAGGCAUAGGCGCCCCCUAAUCAGGAUGCAUUAUUAAUAUUGGAUACUUUGGCUAUGACACAAGACACCAGCUCAUCUUUUGCCUGAGCUUAGUUAGGUUAUUGGAGGAAUACUGUAACAUGGUUGUUUGAGUCCCUGACCUAAGGAGCAAAUGAUGCUUUGGAGAAUGCUGCUGGCUGAUGUAAAACAAAAAUACUUCCCCACCUUUCCCCAGCACAUAUUUAGAAUGAGUAAUACAGAGAGAGCAGCAGUGCCAGCUUUUUUACUCUGCCCCACUCAGAGACACCAGCACAUGUGCCUUUUCAUGCCAGUCUUCAGCUGUUGGUGAAGAUUUCCUACAAACAUGCCAAUUGUGAAGAAAGUGUCUUUUCACAUAAGAGCCAAGAUGAUAUCACCAUAAACUCCAUUCAAUGAAGAGACAAUUUUCGGUCCCCACUGUAUCAAAUAACUGUCCUGGAACAGAAAGACAUUGCAUGCUUCUACCAGUCCUCUCUGCAGUCUCAACACAUAAGGAUUUUAAUCCAAACAGAGCUCACUUUACAUUAAUCUAGUCUGAAUUGCUCAUUCACUGAUAAAUCCUAAAUUAAUUUGGGAAAGAGACAGGGGCACUGCUGUAAACAGAUGAAAUACAAAAGCUUUGGAUCAACACACAGCUGCAAAUAAAGAGGCAAACAAUAUGUUAGGAUUACAGGAGAAGGAGGGGAAAAGAUAUCUUGAGAUGCUCAGCCUUUUUUUUUUCUUUAGGUAUGAUACAGAAAAGAAUAAAAAUGAUGUUAGUAUGCCAUUUUAUUACAAUUGUUAGUAUGUCUUCAGCUGAAAUAGUGCAUUUAGUUCUGUGCAUCUUGUCAGAACUAAUGGAGGAAACUAAGUGCCUCAGUAAGAUACCAACAAGGAUAUAUAUGAUAAAGACAUGUAUAAAAUUUUCAGUGCUAUAGUUGCAAAUGGUCAUGGUUCUGGUGUACUUAGUGAGACUGUGAAGGUGACAGGCAGAAGUAUUUGAAGUAACAAAACUGUCAGGUUAACAUCUGAAAUGCGCCACUAUAAGGCAUUAAGAACAGAACUUAAAAGUUUAUGUAAACAGAAAGAACAAUCCAUUUAUAUAUCAGGAAUAAAAACAUUUCCUCCAGGUGAGACACUAAAUGUCAUAUUAGGGUGGGUUACUCACAGACAGCCAUUAGAAAAAUGCCUCCCCCAGAGAAAGAUCACUGUGUGAUGAUCUGGCAUAAAAAAAUCUUAAACCUUACUCUGCAACAGGACAUUGUCAAACCCUGCAUUCAGGGCCAGAUAUGCAAUAUUUUGACCUAAUUCACAAUUCUUGUGUUCAUUCGCUUCAUUGUUCACUAAACAGAUACUUCAUUUUACUUCAUCUAGCUUAGGGCAUUGUUCAUCUUCAGUUACAUGGCAGAAGAUAACAUACAGUAUCAGCAGUUUUAUCUUUUUUACCCACUGUUAAGCAGUAGCAGGUACAGAAUUGCAUCGGUCUCUUAAAGGGAUUAUAUGAUUAAACCACCUACAAGAGCAGGGGAUGAGAUUUGCUGGUGAACUAGGACCCUUCCGGCCCUAAAGUACUGAAUACAUAUUGUACUGAAAAAUGAAAGUAUGUCUAGACUUCUACAUUAGAACUGCAAUUGCAAUUCAAGCAAAUUAACAUCAGUUCUGCCUGAAUACCAAUAAAUUUGAUUCUGCAUGCAAAGCACCAGUAUAGAGGGAACUCUCUACCUUUGCGUCUGAGCCCAGAAAAAACAAUGCAGCGAUGCUUGACAGAGCCUGAGCCACUGGCAAGACAUCUGUGCUUAUUAAAAGCAACAAAAUAUGAAAUUCAUAUUAAUUUUUUGUUUGAUCAGAAUUUGAAUUUCAUAUUAGUUAUGUUUGUUCAGAUUUAGAAGCAUCUGUCAUCUGAAACCACCAAUCAAUAUUUUAUUCAUCACAAACUAUUCAAAUCCGUAGGGAAACAACCUGGGGAAACAACACAGAAUUUAAAAGAGUUACAGAUACAAAUAGAGCUCAGCCUUUUCAGCCUCAAUUAAUGGGCUUCUGAGGGGUUUUGUUGUUUCUGCAUUAAGUUCAUAUCCAAAGGUAAACUGCUUUUGUUGGCUCAGUUUCCUCAUGGCGGUCAAUUUAUUUUUACUCACUCAUAGCUACAAAUACAGAGAACAGUAUUACCCACUGUAAGAAUGAAGAAACCGAAAAUGCCAAUGACCAUUCCUAGCCAAAGACUAACAAAACACCCUAUUGCUGAACAAGACGUUGAAAUAAAUGUGAACUGCAGAGUAAGUCAGCAUUUCAACUGCUGAGUAAGUGCUUCAGCACUGAGCAAUUAAAGAAAACAUCUCCUGUUUCCUUCUACAGAAUAUUUCUAUUUCCCCAUUUAUCACAGAAAUUUUUAUUUUGAAUAUUGAGUCUGUAAAAAAAAAAAAAAAGUAAAGAAUGUUAAAUCAUGGGAUUAAUCCACUGAUAACCCAUUUUCAGCUCCUGGAAGCUCCAAAGAUUUUAGUGAUAAUGUGAAUUACCAAGAAGGAAACUUUAAGCAAUCAUUCAUUUUAUUUUGUAAUUGAUUAAUUCAUAAAUUUUCACCAGUUGUGUACAUGGUUAUUUUCUCUUUUCUAACCAAAGUAAAUUAAUUCACAUUUUUUAUGUGAGUUAUUUCUCUCAAAUUGAAUUAGGUUAACAAUCCUAGUCAACCUCACAUACAUAACGUAGCAUUUGAAGCUAUUAUGUAAGUUAAAUAAAAACCUUCAAUCUGCUAUAUACAAGAGGAAAAACAUCUGUCAACUCAAAUUCUCUGUUCAAAACCACCCAGAGAGGUGGUGGAGUCACCGACCCUGGAGGUGCUCAAGGAACAUUUGGACGUUGUGUUGAGGGACAUGGUUUAGGGAGAACUACUGGUGAUGGGUGGAUGGUUGGACUGCGUGGUCCUGUGGGUCUUUUCCAACCUUGGUGAUUCUAUGAUUCUAUAAUUCUAUGAAAAUAAUAAAGAAGACUACACUCAGUUAGCAAACAAAUCUGAUGAUCUCUUUUAGCUGUUGUCUCCAAGUUUUUAAUUAUUAGAUCUGUUUCUUCUAUUCUACCAACAAUUAGGGAGAGAAAAGCAAGAUUUUCUGCCUUCUAAGUACAGGUCAGUUUCUCAGCUUGUAAUUAAAUAAAUACAGUGCUGAACCGUUUGAAAAGGUCCAGGUAAGGGAGCAUGUUUUCUAAUUGCAGAAAAAGACUCAUCCCAGAUUAGACUCUCAACAGCCUAUCAUUUCAAACAAAGUCAAUGCAGUGGUUUGACCCUUGAAAAUACUGACAACAAAUUAAUGAACUCUCAGAGUAUAAAAUUGACUAAAAGUAUAUAUAUAUAUUUUUUUUUUUACUAAGGGUUUAGGAUAUACUCAUAUUCUAAAGGCAUUUUGAAAAUAAGCAUUUUUAUAAGAAAAUGGUUAAUUUCAAUUUUUAAAAUUAUUUUUAAUCACCUGCUUUACUCUACUUCAUCAUUACAAUUAAGUUUAAGAAAUAUAUCAUCAGAGUUAUUUGUUCAUUGCCACAAGGGCCAAGAAAGAGGAAGAAACAAAUACAGAAAACCCAAGUCUUAGUUAUGACAAGUCAAGUAAAAUCCACACAAAGGUUUAUGUACUAACAUGAAGAUCAAUACUGAUCUUAUCAUUUAAACUUCAUUCCAAUGAAGUCAAAUUAAGCGUAAAGCCCUAAUGGAGACAGAAAGCUUUUUUAUUUUUCAAACAUUAUCAGCAGCUCCUGAUAAACCCUUGGUCUGAUUUUCAAAACAAUCCCAACUUUUUCUUGUCCUUAUUGCUUCUAGGGGAUGGAGGUGGGCUCCUUAGUUUUGCUGUGCAAAGGUGUGCUUACCUAGAAUGAAAACACACUAAAAAAAAAAAAAAGAAAAAAAAAGUGCUCCUUGAUGUUGAUGGUUUGAAAAGCAGUUCAGAUCUAAUUCACCAGAGGGUGGUUGGGCACUGGAAAGGGCUCCCCAGGGAAGUGGUCAUAGCACUGAGCCUUCUAGAGGUUCAAGAAGCAUCUGAACAAUGCUCAGACAUAUGGUCUGACUUUUGGGUGGUUCUGUGUGCAGCCAGGAGCUGGACUCAAUGAUCCUUAUGGGUCCCUUUCAACUUAGGAUUUUCUAUGUUUCUGUGAUGAACAAGUGUGCAUCCAUUGUGCCUUCCCAAAACGCAGCUGUUAUCCAAACAACCUUCCUCUUCCUGCACUUUGUACCACACUGACUUACACUAAGAAGCAUCAGCCCUCUUGCACCUAGAAGCUAUCCUGACAUCAGCAAGCUCCUGGGAUAGCCACCAGGUUAUUCUGCCAUCUGAGAAGCUUUCACCUUUCACAAGAAAAUAAACAUAAACACAUUUCUGGGGCUGCAGCGUGUACAUUGUUGGAUCUUCUGGGAGGCAGAAACAGAAGAUACUCCAUUCAGAAAGAAAGCAAUGAGGUGUGUGUAAAUUAAUAAGAGGAGAAAAAAAAAAAGAGAGACAGUAGAACUAUCUGAACUAGGUUCAGCAGAGAUUGCACCACAGUCACUGCUGAUAUAUACAGAGUUUUGAGGUGUGAGAAAAAAGGAAUAACUUUCAAGGAGGUGAGGAGUGGUCAGCAACAGGAAACGUCAUGCAUACGUGCCCCGUAGGCCUUCACAUAGUGCUAGGAACACUUUCUGGGUGUUGCACAAACUGGCAGAAGUUCAGGAGCCUUUUCUUGGCAUCUGUCUGAUUCACAAAUGGGAACUUCAUGGUGCUGAGGGUAAUUUACGGUUACAGCCCCCAGGAUUAUGGACUGGGGCAAGUUUGGUAUAUACUUGCAGUGGAUCUUCUGGUUUAGCUACCUCUGAAAGCAAUCUAGUUCACCCAAACUGCAACUGCUUGAUGCAAAUAAAUAUGCAGUAAGUGGUACUAGCUGAGAGAUCUGCCUCAGAAAGAAUAGCCUGCUUCAAAAUGGGCCACCAGUGAAUCCACCAAAUGACACAUCACUGGGCCUUCCUCCCACCCACACUACCAUGUGGGUACUGCUCCAUGGCAGGAUGCCACGGCACAGGAGGAAGAGGAUGAGCACUGCUUUGUGUGUGACAUCACACAGUCUUAAUUUCACAAGCUGUGAGAUGGGAGCCCCUAACAUUGGGGUACCUGCACCUCCUUCAGGGAAGGUAACAUUCAUUCUGGCAUUUCCCAAACAGAUUUUUCUGGAAGGCAUUAAUAAUAUUUGUGUGUGUGACAGUAUGCAUAUCUGUAUUUCCACAGUAGCAUGAGGAUACUAAUCUAAGGAAAAUCCUCUCUUCUUAGAUAUAGGCAGAUGGGGGAGCACAAGAAAGCAGUUAGACAAUAUUGAUCAGCACAGUCAGGUGAAUACUGCAGAGCAGAAACCAAAAACAGAAAAUACAGGCUACACCUGCAGUAAAGCUCCAUUUAUAAAUAUUUUAUAAAGGUUAAAUGACAACAUGUUAGAAAGAUGGUUUAAGAUUUAUGUAUUACAGUCGACGGUAUCUUUAGGUUUAAUGGACAGUUAAAAGCAAUGAUUAUAAGCACCCUAUUGGAUUGUAAUUGCUGAUCUGCCUUUUAAUCAAAUAUCUAUUAAGCCUUUUAUUAACCCUCUGUAUGACCCUCACUAUAAAUUCCCAUCCUGAUAAAUAUUCCUGGUUUUUGGUCCUAUCCACUUGACAAUUUCCCUAGAUUAGAAAGCCCAUUUUAGUCAACGUUUGUAAUUAAGAGUAGUUAAUACACUAUGUUAUGCCACCAGUGGAAAACUUAAGUUUACCACAGUUCUCUGUAGUAGUUAAGCUCUUGCCCACUUAGGAAGAUAGCGUUGCUUAUAGAAAGCACAUUUCAAAGCAAUUUAAAAUUAGCUCCUUCUUUCUGCUAUUAUGGUUUACUGAUGUCCUCCCCCUCUUCCUUUCAGUAUGUUCCUCGUGGGAUAUAUGGAGUCAGUAGCAGUGAAUAAAAUGCUACAAUUAAACUAAAUGCAGUAAGCUUCAGCAGGCACAAUUCCUGAUCCUGCAAGAUGCCAAGUACUCUCAAGUCAAGAUCAAGUACUUAGAGCUCUACUACAAAAGAAACAAGCAUAAAAGACAAAGUACUAAACUCAUUACUACGGAACAGGCAUGAAGAGGAGCAUCUCUUCCCUUACCUACAGGAUACUACCAAAUCACUGUUGACUAAAUGGUCAAUUACCCAGGACAUCACUGCAAUAUCAAUUUCCAUCUUUGACUCCCAUUGUCCUACGAAAAUCAAUGACUAUGCCAUCGGUGCAUAUUUGCUUUCCUAUAUGUACUUUGGCACUCCCAUUUCCCAAAACCGCUGAAGCCAGUAAUUGAUAUUACAGUCUGUUCUUUAUGGGAUGCUUAAUAACAAAAUAUGUUUUUAACAAGCCUAGUCAUACUCCAUUGUUUUAGUUAUUUUUUCAUAAAACCAAGUAAUGUUAAGGGAACUACUGAGGAUAAAUCCACGGUUCACAUUCAAAGCAAUGUCUGUUUUACCUGGCAUUGACAAAGAACAGCUUUUCACUUCUAUGACACCAUUCACACAUGGAUUUCAAAGCAUUUUACAAACACCAGUAAAAUCCUGUUGGAGCGUGCCCAGAGGAGGACCACAAAAAUGAUCCAAGGGAUGGAACACCUCUGCUAUGAGGACAGGCUGAAAGAGUUGGGGCUGCUCAGCCUGAAGAAGAGAAAGUUCUGAGGUGACCUGAGAGCAUCCUUUAAAUGUCUGAAGGGGAGCUACAGGAAAGAAGGAGACAAACACUCUAGCAAGAUCUGUUGUGACAGAACAAGGGGAAAUGGUUUCAAGCUUAAUGAGGGUAGAUUUAGUUUAGAUAUAAAGAAAAAGUUCUUUACAAUGAAGGUGUUGAGGCAUUGGCACAUCACACAGGUUGUCCAGAGAUGUGGUGGACACCUCACCUCUGGAAACUUUCAAGGCAAGGCUGGAUCAGACCCUAAGCAACCUGAUCAAGCUACACAUGUUGCUGUUCAUUGCAGGGGAGUUGGACUAGAUGACCUUUAAAGAUGUCUUCCAAUUCUAAGGAUUCUAUGAUUCUGUGAUCCCCUAUUUGUAAAUCUAUUGCAGGAGACACAGAAAUCUCAAGUUAAAAUAUGGAGUGAGACACUCAUUAACAGAAUCAAUCGAAAAGCCCCUGAACCCAUAAAAGUCUUUAGCCUUGUGAUAAGUCCUAUUGAAAUUAGACCAUCUGUAAAAACCAGGGGUAGGGAGUUAUCCUUUUACAGUGUGCAUACACCAAGGACACUAAGGUUAGUGUCUGUUCUCAAAUCGAACUUUUAUCAAUGUAACAUCAAUGAAAUAGAAAGAUAGAGAUGUAAAGUACCAGAAAUAUAAUUUUAUGGGAAAAAAAAUUACACAUCCUUUUCUGUGCUACAAGGCAAUUAAUUAAUCCUAUACCCUCCUAGGAAAACUACAAAAUCCUUAAGCACAAAGAAAUUUUAAAGUCUUACAUAGCUUGAGAUCGCUGUACCUCGAGUAAUCUUUCUGGCUUUUAUUAACAUUUCCAUAGAAUUUCAUCAUUCUGGAUCACUGUUGUCGUAAGAGAACUUGCAAAAAAGGACAGAAUAUUGCAAAGAAUUCUCCUCCAAAUUUAGUUCAGCAUGUUUCACUGUAAUGUGCUUUCUGCGGGA